rnacentral:rRNA from 1 species
CCAAUAGCGGCAGCUACACAUGCAGUCGAGCGGUAGCACAGAGAGCUUGCUCUCGGGUGACGAGCGGCGGACGGGUGAGUAAUGUCUGGGAAACUGCCUGAUGGAGGGGGAUAACUACUGGAAACGGUAGCUAAUACCGCAUAACGUCGCAAGACCAAAGAGGGGGACCUUCGGGCCUCUUGCCAUCAGAUGUGCCCAGAUGGGAUUAGCUAGUAGGUGGGGUAACGGCUCACCUAGGCGACGAUCCCUAGCUGGUCUGAGAGGAUGACCAGCCACACUGGAACUGAGACACGGUCCAGACUCCUACGGGAGGCAGCAGUGGGGAAUAUUGCACAAUGGGCGCAAGCCUGAUGCAGCCAUGCCGCGUGUAUGAAGAAGGCCUUCGGGUUGUAAAGUACUUUCAGCGGGGAGGAAGGUGCUGAGGUUAAUAACCUCAGCAAUUGACGUUACCCGCAGAAGAAGCACCGGCUAACUCCGUGCCAGCAGCCGCGGUAAUACGGAGGGUGCAAGCGUUAAUCGGAAUUACUGGGCGUAAAGCGCACGCAGGCGGUCUGUCAAGUCGGAUGUGAAAUCCCCGGGCUCAACCUGGGAACUGCAUUCGAAACUGGCAGGCUAGAGUCUUGUAGAGGGGGGUAGAAUUCCAGGUGUAGCGGUGAAAUGCGUAGAGAUCUGGAGGAAUACCGGUGGCGAAGGCGGCCCCCUGGACAAAGACUGACGCUCAGGUGCGAAAGCGUGGGGAGCAAACAGGAUUAGAUACCCUGGUAGUCCACGCCGUAACGAUGUCGACUUGGAGGUUGUGCCCUUGAGGCGUGGCUUCCGGAGCUAACGCGUUAAGUCGACCGCCUGGGGAGUACGGCCGCAAGGUUAAAACUCAAAUGAAUUGACGGGGGCCCGCACAAGCGGUGGAGCAUGUGGUUUAAUUCGAUGCAACGCGAAGAACCUUACCUACUCUUGACAUCCAGAGAACUUAGCAGAGAUGCAUUGGUGCCUUCGGGAACUCUGAGACAGGUGCUGCAUGGCUGUCGUCAGCUCGUGUUGUGAAAUGUUGGGUUAAGUCCCGCAACGAGCGCAACCCUUAUCCUUUGUGCCAGCGGUCCGGGCCGGCAACCUCAAAGGAGAACUGCCAGUGAUAAACUGGAAGAAAGGUUGGA